UAUGGAAGAGUUGAGCAGUGAAAAAAAAAAGUCGGAGAGGCAAAGCGGAUAUAGUUUGGAUGUGUGCUAGAAGGAUAGUGGACAUAUUGGACAAAUGAUGUGCGAAAUAAAUAUGCCAGGUUGGUGAAAAACGGAAGAGCACAGAGGAGUUUCAUGGAUUUAAUGAUCAACUGGACUUGAUUGCAUUUAUUUUAUUUUAUUUUUUAUUUUUGUGACACUAGUGGCCUUUAUUUUGUAAGUAGAUUGACAGGAAAUAGGGUGGAGAGAGAGAGAGUGGCGAAGACAUGCAGGAAAGGUCAAUGACGAGACUCAAACCUGUGACAGCUGCGUUGAGGACUCUAGCCUUCGUAUAUGGGUCACGUGCUUUACCCCUGGUCACCGUCACGUCUGACUGCAUUUUAUUUUGACUUGCGUUGAAUUGGACUGUAUUUAACUGCAUCUGAAUCUGACCUUAUGACUGGACUAUACUGGAAAUAAUUGAACUGGACAAUAUUGAAUUCUAAAUAACUGGGUAUGAUUUUGGACCUGCUGUGUUAGGUGACAGUUGUUGUGAAAUGGUGCUAUAUAAGUAAAGUGAGUUAAACUGAAGCUAUGGUGCACCGUAAAGGGAGCAGCAAAUAUAAAAAAUAACAAGAAAGUGACUUCUUUUGUCUUCCCUUCUGGCAGUUUCUACCACUUCUCUGUUUCUUUGUGUUGAAGGGCUUUUACACUUGUAGGAAUGCUUGUUGCAGAGCCAGAUGUUUAUCACAUAUUUUCAAUAGCAUUUAUAUCAAGAUUAUUUUCUUGUUGUCAGUUUUAGAAAAUAUUUUCUUGUGUACCCUGUGUUUUAUUUUUGGUGAAAGUUUCCAUACGCUGCUUGAAACAUUCACAUCAGAAAUCCAACAGACCACCUGAAGUACAGCAGUUAAGGGUCAAAUUAAUUUUAUUUAAAAAAAUACUUCUCUUAAAAUGCAUUAACACAUGAGUUAGUUUCUGUAAAGGAUAAAUUGGUUACAUUUCUGUAUUUAAAAGAGCUUUUAGUAUAUUUUAAAACUCUGAAAAUGGAGGGGUGCAACUUUAAAGUAACUCACCUAUGACUCAUCAAUUUAAAGUACAGUGAACACCACUCUCAGGUUUUCAUUUUCCAAGUCCAAGCCUCAAAGCUCCUCCAACCUUCAGCCUUGGCUCAAAGUCUCAGCUUUGGGUCCUGCCUCAGUCAGAGCUUCAAAUCCUUCAAGAAACUUACCUGGCUAAAGUACUAGCUGACAGCUCAAGACUACCUCCUUCAGUAAGCAAACCCUGCUCACCCUCCAACUACUACCUUCACAUGAAGCUUCUGAAAAACUCACCAGGUAACACAUGUAAAAAUCAAACUGUCAAGACCUCACCUGAACCUUCCCUUGAGAACUCGCCACCUCUUUGGACUGACACAGCAGCUGCAUUACCGUUCUCCCAGGCUCCACAUAAUUCUCCCUCGUCAAAACUCCUCUUCAUCUCCAUUUGGUGUCUCCAGCCCUGGUUCCAGUUCCAUUAUUCACUACUAAAAAAAAUAAAUAAAAUAAACUUGUUAAACUUUUC